rnacentral:rRNA from 1 species
UAAAAAGCUUCAAACUGGGAUUAGAUACCCCACUAUGCUUAGCCCUAAACAUCGAUCAUAUUUCACAUCCACAAUCCGCCUGGGAACUACGAGCAUUAGCUUAAAACCCAAAGGACUUGGCGGUGCUUAAAAUCCACCUAGAGGAGCCUGUUCUAGAACCGAUAACCCCCGUUCAACCUCACCCUCCCUUGUUUUUCUCCGCCUAUAUACCGCCGUCGUCAGCCUACCCUGUGAAAGUAUUAUAGUAAGCAAAGCUAGUAUAAACCCAAAACGUCAGGUCGAGGUGUAGCGCAUGAGAGGGGAAGAAAUGGGCUACAUUCAUUAACAUAAUGAACUACGGAUGGCAUACUGAAACAUAAUGCCAGAAGGAGGAUUUAGCAGUAAGUAAAAAAUAGAGUGUUUACUGAAAC